rnacentral:rRNA from 1 species
UAAGGGGGGGGCAAACGUUGUUCGGAAUUACUGGGCGUAAAGGGCGCGUAGGCGGGUGGACAAGCCUCUCGUGAAAGCCCACGGCUCAACCGUGGAAUUGCGGGAGAUACUGUCUGUCUUGAGUCCGGGAGAGGAGGGUGGAAUUCCCAGUGUAGCGGUGAAAUGCGUAGAUAUUGGGAGGAACACCGGUGGCGAAGGCGGCUCUCUGGACCGGUACUGACGCUGAGGCGCGAAAGCUAGGGGAGCAAACGGG